CGAACGCUGGCGGCAGGCUUAACACAUGCAAGUCGAACGCUGUAGCAAUACAGAGUGGCAGACGGGUGAGUAACGCGUGGGAACGUACCCUUCGGUUCGGAAUAACUCAGGGAAACUUGAGCUAAUACCGGAUACGUGCGAGAGCAGAAAGAUUUAUCGCCGAAGGAUCGGCCCGCGUCCGAUUAGCUAGUUGGUGGGGUAAUGGCCCACCAAGGCGACGAUCGGUAGCUGGUCUGAGAGGAUGAUCAGCCACACUGGGACUGAGACACGGCCCAGACUCCUACGGGAGGCAGCAGUGGGGAAUAUUGGACAAUGGGCGCAAGCCUGAUCCAGCCAUGCCGCGUGAGUGAUGAAGGCCUUAGGGUUGUAAAGCUCUUUCGCCAGGGACGAUAAUGACGGUACCUGGAUAAGAAGCCCCGGCUAACUUCGUGCCAGCAGCCGCGGUAAUACGAAGGGGGCUAGCGUUGUUCGGAUUUACUGGGCGUAAAGCGCACGUAGGCGGAUCUUUAAGUCAGGGGUGAAAUCCCGGGGCUCAACCUCGGAACUGCCUUUGAUACUGGGGGUCUCGAGUCCGGGAGAGGUGAGUGGAACUGCGAGUGUAGAGGUGAAAUUCGUAGAUAUUCGCAAGAACACCAGUGGCGAAG
rnacentral:rRNA from 1 species